rnacentral:rRNA from 1 species
UAUGAAGGCGGGCUGGAACCUCUCGGGGUUACAGCCUUGCUGAAUUAUUCACCCUUGUCUUUUGCGUACUUCUUGUUUCCUUGGUGGGUUCGCCCACCACUAGGACAAACAUAAACCUUUUGUAAUUGCAAUCAGCGUCAGUAACAAAUUAAUAAUUACAACUUUCAACAACGGAUCUCUUGGUUCUGGCAUCGAUGAAGAACGCAGCGAAAUGCGAUAAGUAGUGUGAAUUGCAGAAUUCAGUGAAUCAUCGAAUCUUUGAACGCACAUUGCGCCCUUUGGUAUUCCAAAGGGCAUGCCUGUUCGAGCGUCAUUUGUACCCUCAAGCUUUGCUUGGUGUUGGGCGUCUUGUCUCUAGCUUUGCUGGAGACUCGCCUUAAAGUAAUUGGCAGCCGGCCUACUGGUUUCGGAGCGCAGCACAAGUCGCACUCUCUAUCAGCAAAGGUCUAGCAUCCAUUAAGCCUUUUUUUCAACUUUUGACCUCGGAUCAGGUAGGGAUACCCGCUGAACUUAAGCAUAUCAAUAAGCGGAGAAA